GUAAUUUACAGCCCGGUUUUAAAUCCGACCUGCGGACCUUUGCUGCGUGUCAUGCCCUCUCUCUCUGUCCCCUUUCCUGUCUAUCCA